GAAAUUGCUUAGAAGAGAUGAGUAGUCGCGGGCAGCCCUUAAAGAGAACCGGGUUAGGUGAGAGCCGGGAUCGUGAAACGCGAUGAAGAUGGUCUUGGAGCAAGUCGGUAGGCGAGCCAAUGGUAAGCCGGCCGCUGGGUGACGCCCGUUAUCAUCGUCCGGGUCUUCUAAUUUUAGAGUACUCAGUAAGGGCUAGAUUGUGAGGUCUAGCUGAAUCAGGGUGGUAACACGUUGAAUAAGCAGUCAACGUCCCUGGG
rnacentral:ncRNA from 1 species